GAUGAUCUGUUUCUUGGGGUGCCUGGAUGGUCGGCACUGCCCCUCUCCCGUCGCCCCCUUCCUGCCCCUCUCCCGUUCCUCUUCUCCUCCCCUUUUUCUUCCUCUAGGGUUAGGAUUUGGAGAUGGAAUUUUGAGAGCUUGUAUCACGGAUUCAUGGGAAAGGAGGCCCUUCCCUCCUAGUGCCCUCUGGGCUUUUGAAUCGAUUCAAUUCGUUGUCUCUGUGAUCUUGUUUUUCUGCUGGAAUUCUUGUUUUCUCUCUGUUUGUUCUUGGCGCUGGUGCAGGGGGCCUUGGCCCUUUUUGGAGUGCGCGCUGCAGCAAGCAAGAAGAACAAGAGCCAGCACGCACACAGCACAAGCAGCUCAUGCGCAGCACCAGCAGGAAGGCAGCAGGCGGCCAGCGAGCGUGUGCACAGCAGGGUCAGCGACCAAGGGCCUAGGCGCGCAGGUAAUUUUUGUCUUCCUGUGUUGGGGAUCAGAGGCACAUCGACUAGGCAGCAGCAGGAGCUCGGCAUCGGCAACUCCAUCCACCGCACGCAGGCUGCUCGAUUUUUUGCCCACAAGGUUAGGCAGCUCGACUGGUCAACAAGCACAGCAUGCAUAGGAGAACCGAUCGAGUGCUCUUGGCUGGAGCAAUUCUGGCUGACACCCUUGAAGACUUGCAGAGAUGAUAUCUUUUGUAAUCUAAACCUGAGGCAAUGUUAGAAUUGUUGCGUCGAGAGAAUCAACACAACAUUUUUUUCCACCAAGGGAAUUACCACACAUGUUCACAAUGAUUAUUACCCAUGCAUGUUCUUACCGGGACCAAUAUUCAGAUAGAACAUCCUUGGAUGUACCAGUUGGUGGACCUAUAUGUGAGAUGAAUAUUCACAAACAUCAACAUGUGUGAUCAUGUUAGUUAUUGGAGGAGGACAAUUCCUUGUAGAUUAUAGGAAUCGAUUUUUGUGAUGCCAAGCAGCCAAAGGUAGGCUAAUGCAAUCUCCAUUUUGCGCGGCAAA